AUUGAACGCUGGCGGCGUGCUUAACACAUGCAAGUCGUGCGGUAACAGGCGUAGCAAUACGUGCUGACGAGCGGCGAACGGGUGCGUAAUACAUGGGAAUCUGCCUUUUAGUGGGGAAUAACCCGGCGAAAGCCGGGCUAAUGCCGCAUAAGAUCUUCGGAUGAAAGCGGGGAGUCGUAAGACCUCGCGCUGAUAGAUGAGCCCACUGCCGGAUUAGUCAGUUGGUGAGGUAACGGCUCACCAAGG
rnacentral:rRNA from 1 species